CGUCUAGGCGGGGAAUUAAGUUAGGUGUGAAAUCCAUGGGCUCAACUCGUGGAUUGCAUCUAAAACUGGUUCUCUUGAGUUCGGGAGAGGAGAGCAGAAUUCCUGGUGUAGCGGUGAAAUGCGUAGAUAUCAGGAGGAAUACCAGUGGCGAAGGCGGCUCUCUGGCCUAGGACUGACGCUGAAGCGCGAAAGCGUGGGGAGCGAACG
rnacentral:rRNA from 1 species